rnacentral:rRNA from 1 species
GUGGCGGACGGGUGAGUAACGCGUAAAGAACUUGCCUUACAGACUGGGACAACAUUUGGAAACGAAUGCUAAUACCGGAUAUUAUGACUGAGUCGCAUGAUUUGGUUAUGAAAGCUAUAUGCGCUGUGAGAGAGCUUUGCGUCCCAUUAGUUAGUUGGUGAGGUAACGGCUCACCAAGACGAUGAUGGGUAGCCGGCCUGAGAGGGUGAACGGCCACAAGGGGACUGAGACACGGCCCUUACUCCUACGGGAGGCAGCAGUGGGGAAUAUUGGACAAUGGACCAAAAGUCUGAUCCAGCAAUUCUGUGUGCACGAUGAAGUUUUUCGGAAUGUAAAGUGCUUUCAGUUGGGAAGAAGUCAGUGACGGUACCAACAGAAGAAGCGACGGCUAAAUACGUGCCAGCAGCCGCGGUAAUACGUAUGUCGCAAGCGUUAUCCGGAUUUAUUGGGCGUAAAGCGCGUCUAGGCGGUUUAGUAAGUCUGAUGUGAAAAUGCGGGGCUCAACCCCGUAUUGCGUUGGAAACUGUUAAACUAGAGUACUGGAGAGGUAGGCGGAACUACAAGUGUAGAGGUGAAAUUCGUAGAUAUUUGUAGGAAUGCCGAUGGGGAAGCCAGCCUACUGGACAGAUACUGACGCUAAAGCGCGAAAGCGUGGGUAGCAAACAGGAUUAGAUACCCUGGUAGUCCACGCCGUAAACGAUGAUUACUAGGUGUUGGGGGUCGAACCUCAGCGCCCAAGCUAACGCGAUAAGUAAUCCGCCUGGGGAGUACGUACGCAAGUAUGAAACUCAAAGGAAUUGACGGGGACCCGCACAAGCGGUGGAGCAUGUGGUUUAAUUCGACGCAACGCGAGGAACCUUACCAGCGUUUGACAUCCCAAGAAGUUAACAGAGAUGUUUUCGUGCCUCUUCGGAGGAACUUGGUGACAGGUGGUGCAUGGCUGUCCUCAGCUCGUGUCGUGAGAUGUUGGGUUAAGUCCCGCAACGAGCGCAACCCCUUUCGUAUGUUACCAUCAUUAAGUUGGGGACUCAUGCGAGACUGCCUGCGAUGAGCAGGAGGAAGGUGGGGAUGACGUCAAGUCAUCAUGCCCCUUAUACGCUGGGCUACACACGUGCUACAAUGGGUAGUACAGAGAGCUGCAAACCUGCGAGGGUAAGCUAAUCUCAUAAAACUAUUCUUAGUUCGGAUUGUACUCUGCAACUCGAGUACAUGAAGUUGGAAUCGCUAGUAAUCGCAAAUCAGCUAUGUUGCGGUGAAUACGUUCUCGGGUCUUGUACACACCGCCCGUCACACCACGAGAGUUGGUUGCACCUGAAGUAACAGGCCUAACCGUAAGGANGGA